rnacentral:rRNA from 1 species
GACGAACGCUGGCGGCGUGCCUAAUACAUGCAAGUCGAACGCUUCUUUCCUCCCGAGUGCUUGCACUCAAUUGGAAAGAGGAGUGGCGGACGGGUGAGUAACACGUGGGUAACCUACCCAUCAGAGGGGGAUAACACUUGGAAACAGGUGCUAAUACCGCAUAACAGUUUAUGCCGCAUGGCAUAAGAGUGAAAGGCGCUUUCGGGUGUCGUUGAUGGAUGGACCCGCGGUGCAUUAGCUAGUUGGUGAGGUAACGGCUCACCAAGGCCACGAUGCAUAGCCGACCUGAGGGGGUGAUCGGCCACACUGGGGCUGAGAAACGGCCCAGACUCCUACGGGAGGCAGCAGUAGGGAAUCUUCGGCAGUGGACGAAAGUCUGACCGAGCAACGCCGCGUGAGUGAAGAAGGUUUUCGGAUCGUAAAACUCUGUUGUUAGAGAAGAACAAGGACGUUAGUAACUGAACGUCCCCUGACGGUAUCUAACCAGAAAGCCACGGCUAACUACGU